rfam:Flavobacterium sp. LM5 Flavobacterium_sp_LM5_contig4, whole genome shotgun sequence.
GUAUAGCCCCGAUAGUAGCGGCAUCCUUUUUUUAUUUUUCUUUUCAAAAAUAAAAAAAGAUAUAGCGGAUAGCGGGAGGAAUC